rnacentral:rRNA from 1 species
CCUACGGGUGGCAGCAGUGGGGAAUAUUGCACAAUGGGGGAAACUCUGAUGCAGCCACGCCGCGUGCGUGAAGAAGUCUCUCUGUAUGUUAAGCUCCAUUUGUACGGAAGAAGACAGACGGUACCUGAUUAAGAAGCCCCGGCUAACUACGUGCCAGCAGCCGCGGUCAUACGUAGGGGGCACGCGGGAUCCGGAUUUACUGGGGUUAAAGGGAGCGUAGGCGGCUGUGCAAGUCUGAGGUGAAAGCCCGUGUCUCAAUCGCGGAACUGCGUUGGAAACUGUAUAGCUAGAGUACUGUAGAGGCAGGCGGAAUUCCUGGUGUAGCGGUGAAAUGCGUAGAUAUUAGAAAGAACACCAAUGGCGAAGGCAGCCUACUAAACAAAAACUGACGUUGAGGCUCGAAAGCGUGGGGAGCAAACAGGAUUAGAUACCCGUGUAGUC